ensembl:lncRNA
GGUGGGUCCUACCUAGACCAGGCUGAUCCUGGACCAUCCCACAGAUGCUCAAUCAGAUCUGGAUGUGGGGAGUGUGGAACCCAGAUGCACAAUGAGGGACGUCUGCAGUGACUGAGAAAGAGUCUCACCACAUCCUGACAUGAGGAAAAAGACUUUAUUGAAGACUACAAUGAGAAAAACUAUCAGACAGCAGACGGCAUGCAUUCAAGUUGAGCUCUGAACAUUUGAUCUGGAACAGGAAUUCAAUAACAGCAGCAUGAGCUUCAUUUCAGUCUGUAGCUGCUGAAUUCAUGGAUGAAUCAUCUGGCACUAGAGAGGAAGACCAUCAAACAUCCACGUCAGCUGAUGGAGGUCCAAGAGUCUCACCGAACAACCAACCUACAAAGUGAAGACCUCAAAUCUGAUUGGACGGCCUCCUAUUCAGCCACAUGUGUGAACAAAUGCCUCUGAGUUGAUUUGUUUUCUAAAAUAAAUCUAGUUUGAGU